UACGUAGGUCCCGAGCGUUGUCCGGAUUUAUUGGGCGUAAAGGGAACGCAGGCGGUCUUUUAAGUCUGAUGUGAAAGCCUUCGGCUUAACCGGAGUAGUGCAUUGGAAACUGGGAGACUUGAGUGCAGAAGAGGAGAGUGGAACUCCAUGUGUAGCGGUGAAAUGCGUAGAUAUAUGGAAGAACACCAGUGGCGAAAGCGGCUCUCUGGUCUGUAGCUGACGCUGAGGUUCGAAAGCGUGGGUAGCAAACAGG
rnacentral:rRNA from 1 species